GAACUUAAGCAUAUCAAUAAGCGGAGGAAAAGAAACCAACAGGGAUUACCUCAGUAACGGCGAGUGAAGCGGUAACAGCUCAAAUUUGAAAUCUGGCUCUUUCAGGGUCCGAGUUGUAAUUUGUAGAAGAUGCUUCGGGUGUGGCUCCGGUCUAAGUUCCUUGGAACAGGACGUCAUAGAGGGUGAGAAUCCCGUAUGUGACUGGUUGCCUUCGCCCAUGUGAAGCUCUUUCGACGAGUCGAGUUGUUUGGGAAUGCAGCUCUAAAUGGGUGGUAAAUUUCAUCUAAAGCUAAAUAUUGGCCAGAGACCGAUAGCGCACAAGUAGAGUGAUCGAAAGAUGAAAAGCACUUUGGAAAGAGAGUUAAACAGUACGUGAAAUUGUUGAAAGGGAAGCGCUUGCAACCAGACUUGCACGCCAUCAAUCAUCCUCGGUUCUCCGGGGUGCACUUGGUGGGGUUCAGGCCAGCAUCGGUUUCGGUGGUGGGAUAAAGGCCUUGGGAAUGUGGCUCCCCUCGGGGAGUGUUAUAGCCCUCGGUGCAAUGCCGCCUACCGGGACCGAGGACCGCGCUUCGGCUAGGAUGCUGGCGUAAUGGUUGUAAGCGACCCGUCUUGAAACACGGACCAAGGAGUCUAACAUCUAUGCGAGUGUUUGGGUGUUAAACCCAUACGCGGAAUGAAAGUGAACGGAGGUGAGAACCCUUUAGGGUGCAUCAUCGACCGAUCCUGAUGUCUUCGGAUGGAUUUGAGUAAGAGCAUAGCUGUUGGGACCCGAAAGAUGGUGAACUAUGCCUAAAUAGGGUGAAGCCAGAGGAAACUCUGGUGGAGGCUCGCAGCGGUUCUGACGUGCAAAUCGAUCGUCAAAUUUGGGUAUAGGGGCGAAAGACUAAUCGAACCAUCUAGUAGCUGGUUCCUGCCGAAGUUUCCC
rnacentral:rRNA from 1 species